rnacentral:rRNA from 1 species
GUUAUAUGGUCAAGAAGAGAAGCGCAAACGGUGGAUGCCUUGGCAGUAAGAGGCGAAGAAGGACGUGGAAUCCUGCGAAAAGCUAUGGGGAGCUGGAAACGAGUGUUGAGCCAUAGAUGUCCGAAUGGGGGAACCCGGCUGCAGCGAUGCGGUCAUUUGCAUUUGAAUACAUAGGAUGCAAAGGCGAACUCGGGGAACUGAAACAUCUAAGUACCCGAAGGAAAAGAAAUCAAUAGAGAUUCUCCAAGUAGCGGCGAGCGAACGGGGAGGAGCCUGGCGUGAUUUAUUAUUGAAUUGAGUAGAACAACUUGGGAAGGUUGGCCAUAGAGGGUGAAAGCCCCGUAUACGAAGGUUUGAUGAGGAACUAGGCACGCGAGCAAGUAGGCCGGGACACGUGAAAUCCUGGUUGAAGAUGGGUGGACCAUCAUCCAAGGCUAAAUACUACUUACUGACCGAUAGUGAACCAGUACCGUGAGGGAAAGGUGAAAAGAACCCCGGAGAGGGGAGUGAAAUAGAAUCUGAAACCGUUUGCGUACAAGCAGUGGGAGCAU